rnacentral:rRNA from 1 species
UACGUAGGGUGCAAGCGUUAUCCGGAUUUAUUGGGCGUAAAGGGCUCGUAGGCGGUUCGUCGCGUCCGGUGUGAAAGUCCAUCGCUUAACGGUGGAUCCGCGCCGGGUACGGGCGGGCUUGAGUGCGGUAGGGGAGACUGGAAUUCCCGGUGUAACGGUGGAAUGUGUAGAUGUCGGGAAGAACACCAAUGGCGAAGGCAGGUCUCUGGGCCGUUACUGACGCUGAGGAGCGAAAGCGUGGGGAGCGAACAGG